rnacentral:snRNA from 1 species
AUAUAUAUAUUUAAAAAAAAACACAACACAGGGAUUAGCAUGGCCCCUGUGCAAGGAUGACAUGCAAAUUUGUGAAGCGUUCCAGAUUAAA